UACGGGGGGAGCAAGCGUUGUUCGGAUUUACUGGGCGUAAAGGGCGCGUAGGCGGUCAGCACAAGUCAGUUGUGAAAUCUCCGGGCUUAACUCGGAAAGGUCAACUGAUACUGUGCGACUAGAGUGCGGAAGGGGCAACUGGAAUUCUCGGUGUAGCGGUGAAAUGCGUAGAUAUCGGGAGGAACACCUGUGGCGAAAGCGGCUUCCUGGACCAGUACCGACGUUCAGGCACGAAAGCGUGGGGAGCAAACAGG
rnacentral:rRNA from 1 species